rnacentral:rRNA from 1 species
CGCAUCUGUGCAUGCAGCAUAUCAAUAAGCGGAGGAAAAGAAACUAACAAGGAUUCCCUUAGUAACGGCGAGUGAAGCGGGAAGAGCUCAAAUUUGAAAUCUUAAAGGGUUUACCUUUACGAAUUGUAGUUUAAAGAAGUGUUUUCUGUUGAAGUUUUGGUAAAAGUUCUUUGGAAUAGGACAUCAUAGAGGGUGAGAAUCCCGUAUUUGACCAUUAUUUUCAGCUGUGUGAUACACUUUCAAAGAGUCGGAUUGUUUGGGAAUGCAGUCCAAAAUGGGUGGUAAAUUUCAUCUAAAGCUAAAUAUUGGCGAGAGACCGAUAGCGAACAAGUACCGUGAGGGAAAGAUGAAAAGAACUUUGAAAAGAGAGUUAAACAGUACGUGAAAUUGUCAAAAGGGAAGCGUUUGACACCAGUGUUGUUUUCUCGAAAAUCAAUUAAAAAGAGUUAGAUUUUGUUGUGUAUUGACCUUAACAGCUUGCAUUUCAAUUUUCUUGCUUUUUUUAAUGCACUUUUCGUUUAACAAGUCAACAUCAGUUUCUUUUGUUGUAAAAAGGUCAUUGGAAGGUGGCUUUCUUUUCGGAGAAAGUGUUUAUAGCCUUUGACUCCUGCAAUCGGAGAGACUGAGGUCUGCAGCGUAGAUCCUUCGGGGUUAGAUACAUUUGUGCUAAGUUAUAGCUUUUUAUAGACAACUUGUUGACUAUGAUUAGUCUUGUAGCUUACUCGCUUAUGCUAUUUUACCUACGCUUAGGAUGUUGAUGUGAUACUGCGAGCA